UACGUAGGGAGCGAGCGUUGUCCGGAUUCAUUGGGCGUAAAGAGCUCGUAGGCGGCUUGGCAAGUCGGGUGUGAAAACUCCGGGCUCAACCUGGAGACGCCACCCGAUACUGCCAUGGCUAGAGUCCGGUAGGGGACCACGGAAUUCCUGGUGUAGCGGUGAAAUGCGCAGAUAUCAGGAGGAACACCGGUGGCGAAGGCGGUGGUCUGGGCCGGAACUGACGCUGAGGAGCGAAAGCGUGGGGAGCGAACAGG
rnacentral:rRNA from 1 species